UUCUCCUAUGGGGGGCAGCAGUGGGGGAUAUUGCACAAUGGGGGAAACCCUGAUGCAGCGACGCCGCGUGAGUGAAGAAGUAUUUCGGUACGUAAAGCUCUAUCAGCAGGGAAGAAUAAUGACGGUACCUGAAGAAAAAGCAUCGGCUAACUCCGUGCCAGCAGCCGCGGUAAUACGGAGGAUGCGAGCGUUAUCCGGAUUUAUUGGGUUUAAAGGGUGCGUAGGCGGAAUGCCAAGUCAGCGGUAAAAUCGCGGGGCUCAACCUCGCUCCGCCGUUGAAACUGGCGUUCUUGAGUGGGCGAGAA
rnacentral:rRNA from 1 species